rnacentral:rRNA from 1 species
GACGAACGCUGGCGGCGUGCUUAACACAUGCAAGUCGAACGGUGAAGCGCCUUCCUUUUUGGUGGGUGUGGAUGAGUGGCGAACGGGUGAGUAACACGUGAGUAACCUGCCCCCUUCUUCUGGAUAACCGCAUGAAAGUGUGGCUAAUACGGGAUAUUCUGGGUCUGUCGCAUGAUGGGUCUGGGAAAGAUAUUGUUUCGGUGGGUGAUGGGCUCGCGGCCUAUCAGCUUGUUGGUGGGGUGAUGGCCUACCAAGGCGGUGACGGGUAGCCGGCCUGAGAGGGUGGACGGUCACACUGGGACUGAGACACGGCCCAGACUCCUACGGGAGGCAGCAGUGGGGAAUAUUGCACAAUGGGCGCAAGCCUGAUGCAGCGACGCCGCGUGAGGGAUGGAGGCCUUCGGGUUGUGAACCUCUUUCGCCAGUGAAGCAGGCCUGCCUCGUUUGUGGGUGGGUUGACGGUAGCUGGAGAAGAAGCGCCGGCUAACUACGUG